GAUGAACGCUGGCGGCGUGCCUAACACAUGCAAGUCGAACGAAUUACUUUAAAGGAAGUUUUCGGAUGGAAUUUAAAGUAGUUAGUGGCGGACGGGUGAGUAACGCGUGGGAAACCUGCCCUAUACAGGGGGAUAGCCUCGGGAAACUGGGAUUAAUACCCCAUAAAACUCUAGUAUCGCAUGAUACAUGAGCCAAAGAUUUAUCGGUAUAGGAUGGUCCCGCGUCUGAUUAGCUAGUUGGUGAGGUAACGGCUCACCAAGGCGACGAUCAGUAGCCGGCCUGAGAGGGUGAACGGCCACACUGGAACUGAGACACGGUCCAGACUCCUACGGGAGGCAGCAGUGGGGAAUAUUGCACAAUGGGGGAAACCCUGACCCAGCGACGCCGCGUGGGUGAAGAAAUCCUUCGGGAUGUAAAGCCCUGUUGUAUGGGAAGAGCGGAAGACGGUACCAUACGAGGAAGCCCCGGCAAACUACGUGCCAGCAGCCGCGGUAAACUACUCGUA
rnacentral:rRNA from 1 species